AGUACCCCGAGGAAAAGAAAUCAACCGAGAUUCCCCCAGUAGCGGCGAGCGAACGGGGAGGAGCCCAGAGCCUGAAUCAGCAUGUGUGUUAGUGGAAGCGUCUGGAAAGGCGCGCGAUACAGGGUGACAGCCCCGUACACAAAAGCGCAUGUGCUGUGAGCUCGAUGAGUAGGGCGGGACACGUGGUAUCCUGUCUGAAUAUGGGGGGACCAUCCUCCAAGGCUAAAUACUCCUGACUGACCGAUAGUGAACCAGUACCGUGAGGGAAAGGCGAAAAGAACCCCGGCGAGGGGAGUGAAAAAGAACCUGAAACCGUGUACGUACAAGCAGUGGGAGCACAGGUUUACCUGUGUGACUGCGUACCUUUUGUAUAAUGGGUCAGCGACUUAUAUUCUGUAGCAAGGUUAACCGAAUAGGGGAGCCGGAGGGAAACCGAGUCUUAAUUGGGCGUUAAGUUGCAGGGUAUAGACCCGAAACCCGGUGAUCUAGCCAUGGGCAGGUUGAAGGUUGGGUAACACUAACUGGAGGACCGAACCGACUAAUGUUGAAAAAUUAGCGGAUGACCUGUGGCUGGGGGUGAAAGGCCAAUCAAACCGGGAGAUAGCUGGUUCUCCCCGAAAGCUAUUUAGGUAGCGCCUCGUGAAUUCAUCUCCGGGGGUAGAGCACUGUUUCGGCUAGGGGGCCAUCCCGGCUUACCAACCCGAUGCAAACUGCGAAUACCGGAGAAUGUUAUCACGGGAGACACACGGCGGGUGCUAACGUCCGUCGUGAAGAGGGAAACAACCCAGACCGCCAGCUAAGGUCCCAAAGUCAUGGUUAAGUGGGAAACGAUGUGGGAAGGCCCAGACAGCCAGGAUGUUGGCUUAGAAGCAGCCAUCAUUUAAAGAAAGCGUAAUAGCUCACUGGUCGAGUCGGCCUGCGCGGAAGAUGUAACGGGGCUAAACCAU
rnacentral:rRNA from 1 species